rnacentral:rRNA from 1 species
CCUACGGGAGGCAGCAGUAGGGAAUUUUCGUCAAUGGGCGCAAGCCUGAACGAGCAAUGCCGCGUGAACGCGGAAGGUCUUCGGAUCGUAAAGUUCUGUUGAAGGGGAAAAAGAGCGGAGAGAGGAAAUGAACUCCGAUUGAUAUUACCCUUCGAGGAAGUCACGGCUAACUACGUGCCAGCAGCCGCGGUAAUACGUAGGUGGCGAGCGUUUUCCGGAAUGAUUGGGCGGAAAGGGUGCGUAGGCGGCCUGCUAAGUCUGGAGUGAAAGGUACCGGCUCAACCGGUACAGGCUCUGGAAACUGGCGGGCUAGAGAGCAGGAGAGGGCGGUGGAACUCCAUGUGUAGCGGUAAAAUGCGUAGAUAUAUGGAAGAACACCAGUGGCGAAGGCGGCCGCCUGGCCUGUUGACUGACGCUGAGGCACGAAAGCGUGGGGAGCAAAUAGGAUUAGAUACCCGAGUAGUC